rnacentral:rRNA from 2 species
CAGGGAAUUUUGCGCAAUGGGCGAAAGCCUGACGCAGCGACGCCGCGUGGGUGAUGAAGGCCUUCGGGUUGUAAAUCCCUUUUCUGGGGGAAGAGUUUGGACGGUACCCCAGGAAUAAGCCCCGGCUAACUACGUGCCAGCAGCCGCGGUAAUACGUAGGGGGCAAGCGUUGUCCGGAGUUACUGGGCGUAAAGGGCGCGUAGGCGGCCCAGGAAGUCCCCGGUGAAAUCUCCCGGCUCAACCGGGAGCCGCCCGGGGAUACUCUUGGACUUGAGGACGGCAGAGGAGGGUGGAAUUCCCGGUGUAGUGGUGAAAUGCGUAGAUAUCGGGAGGAACACCAGUGGCGAAGGCGGCCCUCUGGGCUGUACCUGACGCUGAGGCGCGAAAGCGUGGGGAGCGAACCGG